rnacentral:rRNA from 1 species
UACGUAGGGUGCAAGCGUUAAUCGGAAUUACUGGGCGUAAAGCGUGCGCAGGCGGUUCCUAUAAGACAGAUGUGAAAUCCCCGAGCUCAACUUGGGAACUGCGUUUGAAACUACAGGACUAGAAUAUGUCAGAGGGGGUAGAAUCCACGUGUAGCAGUGAAAUGCGUAGAGAUGUGGAGGAAUACCAAUGGCGAAGGCAGCCC